GCCGAGAUAGCUCAGCUGGUAGAGCAGCCGCUUCGUAAGCGGCAGGUCGUGGGUUCGAACCCCAUUCUCGGCU
rnacentral:tRNA from 1 species